rnacentral:rRNA from 1 species
AAAGCGACCUCAGCUCAGGCGGGGCUACCCGC